GAGUUUGAUCGUGGCUCAGAUUGAACGCUGGCGGCAUGCCUUACACAUGCAAGUCGAACGGCAGCAUGAUCUAGCUUGCUAGAUUGAUGGCGAGUGGCGAACGGGUGAGUAAUACAUCGGAACGUGCCCUGUAGUGGGGAUAACUAGUCGAAAGAUUAGCUAAUACCGCAUACGACCUGAGGGUGAAAGUGGGGGACCGCAAGGCCUCAUGCUAUAGGAGCGGCCGAUGUCUGAUUAGCUAGUUGGUGGGUAAAGGCCCACCAAGGCGACGAUCAGUAGCUGGUCUGAGAGGACGAUCAGCCACACCUGGGACUGAGACACGGCCCAGACUCCUACGGAGGCAGCAGUGGGGAAUUUUGGACAAUGGGCGAAAGCCUGAUCCAGCAAUGCCGCGUGUGUGAAGAAGGACCUCGGUUCG
rnacentral:rRNA from 1 species